GACGAACGCUGGCGGCGUGCUUAACACAUGCAAGUCGAGCGGAAAGGCCCUGCUUUUGUGGGGUGCUCGAGUGGCGAACGGGUGGGUAACACGUGAGUAACCUGCCCUUGACUUUGGGAUAACUUCAGGAAACUGGGGCUAAUACCGGAUAGGAGCUCCUGCUGCAUGGUGGGGGUUGGAAAGUUUCGGCGGUUGGGGAUGGACUCGCGGCUUAUCAGCUUGUUGGUGGGGUAGUGGCUUACCAAGGCUUUGACGGGUAGCCGGCCUGAGAGGGUGACCGGCCACAUUGGGACUGAGAUACGGCCCAGACUCCUACGGGAGGCAGCAGUGGGGAAUAUUGCACAGUGGGCGGAAGCCUGAUGCAGCAACGCCGCGUGCGGGAUGACGGCCUUCGGGUUGUAAACCGCUUUCGCCUGUGACGAAGCGUGAGUGACGGUAAUGGGUAAAGAAGCACCGGCUAACUACGUG
rnacentral:rRNA from 1 species